UUUUAAAUGGCCGCAGUAUUUUGACUGUGCAAAGGUAGCAUAAUCAUUAGUUUUUUAAUUAAAAGCUUGUAUGAAAGGCUGGACGAGGUAAAAUCUGUCUCUAUUUAAAUUAAAAUAGAAUUUAACUUUUAAGUUAAAAGGCUUAAAUGUUAUUAAAAGACGAGAAGACCCUAUAGAGCUUUAUAGUUUAUUUAAUAAGAUUAAUUUAGAAAUAUUAAUAUUUUAUUAUUUUAAAUUAUUUUAUUGGGGUAAUAGAAAGAUUAAAAAAAUUCUUUUUUAUUAUAAACAUUAAUUUAUGAAUUUAAUGAUCCAAUUUUAUUGAUUAUAAGAUUAAGUUACCUUAGGGAUAACAGCGUAAUUUUUUUAGAGAGUUCAUAUCGAUAAAAAAGUUUGCGACCUCGAUGUUGGAUUAAAGAUUAUUUUAGGUGCAGAAGCUUAAUAAUUUUGGUCUGUUCGACCAUUGAAUCUUUACAUGAUCUGAGUUCAGACCGGCGUAAGCCAGGUCGGUUUCUAUCUUUAAUAAAAUAAAAUAUUUUAGUACGAAAGGACCAAAUAUUUAAUAUAUUUAUAUUUUUAUUUUUGAAUAUUA
rnacentral:rRNA from 1 species